rnacentral:rRNA from 1 species
UACGGGGGGGGGCAAGCGUUGUUCGGAAUUACUGGGCGUAAAGGGCGCGUAGGCGGCCACCGCAAGUCGACUGUGAAAUCUCCGGGCUUAACCCGGAAAGGUCAGCCGAUACUGCGGGGCUAGAGUGCAGAAGGGGCAACUGGAAUUCUCGGUGUAGCGGUGAAAUGCGUAGAUAUCGAGAGGAACACCUGCGGCGAAGGCGGGUUGCUGGGCUGACACUGACGCUGAUGUGCGAAAGCUAGG